rnacentral:rRNA from 1 species
AAAUUGAAGAGUUUGAUCAUGGCUCAGAUUGAACGCUGGCGGCAGGCCUAACACAUGCAAGUCGAACGGUAACAGGAAGCAGCUUGCUGCUUCGCUGACGAGUGGCGGACGGGUGAGUAAUGUCUGGGAAACUGCCUGAUGGAGGGGGAUAACUACUGGAAACGGUAGCUAAUACCGCAUAACGUCGCAAGACCAAAGAGGGGGACCUUCGGGCCUCUUGCCAUCGGAUGUGCCCAGAUGGGAUUAGCUAGUAGGUGGGGUAACGGCUCACCUAGGCGACGAUCCCUAGCUGGUCUGAGAGGAUGACCAGCCACACUGGAACUGAGACACGGUCCAGACUCCUACGGGAGGCAGCAGUGGGGAAUAUUGCACAAUGGGCGCAAGCCUGAUGCAGCCAUGCCGCGUGUAUGAAGAAGGCCUUCGGGUUGUAAAGUACUUUCAGCGGGGAGGAAG